UCACAGCAACAUCGAGACUAGUAUUUGAUCAAAAAACCAGGCACCUUAGCCUAGACAAAUUGAUACAUAAAAUUAACCAUCACAAAGAUGCUAUAUGAUUUUUUGCACAUGACUCAAGAGUUCUAAAACCUGGGAGUUCUCAUUGUGGCUCAGCGGGUUAGGAACCUGACUAGUAUACAUGAGGAUGGGGGUUUGCUCCCUGGCCUCUCUCAUUGUUGUUGCUGCAGUCUACAGUGUUGGUCACAAAAUGCAGCUAGGAUCUGGUGUUGCUGUGGCUGUGGUGUAGGCUGGCAACUACUGCUCUGAUUCAACUCUUAGCCUGGGAACUCCAUAUGCUGCAGAUAUGACCCUAAAAGAUUAAAAAAAAAAAAAAGAGUUCUAAAAACUGAAUGACAUUAAUAUAGCAAAACUUGUAUUCCUAAAGUGAGAGCUGAAUUGAUAUUUAACUCUGACUUUUUCUAACAAUAACUAAUAUUCAACCAUACCUACAUGAGGUAAUUUGUAAAAAAAUUUCCAUCUAUCUCCCUAAAAAUUCAUUUUCUUAAUAAUUACAUGUCAAAAUGUAUAAUAUAUAUUUGUACUGUUUAAUUCAAUUGUGUACUCCUAACAGUAAUAAAAAAACUCAUUUCAAAGAAUCUUCAAUAGUUAGACUCUUAUGGACACAAAUAUUUAACAAAUGAUCUCCAAAUGAGUACACAUAAUUUUACUACAGAGUAAUCUGAUGAUUAAGAAAAGGUUUUUAAGCAUAAAAUUAUAUUAAGUUAGAGUAAAAUUCUUUUCCCUAUUAACAGCUAAUUUUUAUUUUUAUUUUUGUUUUUUAAAUUUAUUUUUUAUUGAUAUUUCCCCCAACAAAUUUUUUUUUCCACUAUACAGCAUGGGGACCCAUUACACAUACAUGAUAAAUAAUUCUUUUUUUCACAUUAUCAUGCUCCAUCAUAAGUGACUAGAUAUAGUUCCCAGUGUUCUACAGCAGGAUCUCAUUGCUUAUCCAUUCCAAAGGCAAUAGUCUGCAUCUAUUAACCCCAAGUUCCCAAUCCAUCCCACUCCCUCCCCCUCCCCUUUGGCAACCACGAGUCUAUUCUCUUAGCAGAGAUAGUAAAGAAAAAAAUAUUAGAAGACAAGUCUCAUAUGUCUUGAGAACACAAAAGACAUUUCCAUCUAAAAAUAAAUUUGUACUAAACAAAGGAAACUUUUCAAGUUCUCAGCUCUACACAAUAUAUUGCUUAAAUGGGACUGAACCUUAGAUGUCAUCUGAUUCCAUUCCAUUGUUACAACUGAGGAAAUUAGUCCCCAAAAAGGUAAUAAGAGUAUCUCCACCUCCUCCAGUGUCUGAUUACAUCAUGAUGUAGAGAUGUCUUGAGAAGGGAAUUAGGCACAUCAUCUUGUUCUGAGAAAAAUAUGAGGCAAAUAUACAGCCUC
rnacentral:lncRNA from 1 species